UUGAUACGGUCGACCAAAGUGCAGCAGAGGUAGGCGGAAUUCGAGGUGUAGCGGUGAAAUGCUUAGAUAUCACGAAGAACUCCGAUUGCAAAGCAGCUUACUGGAUUGUAACUGACGCUAUGCUCGAAAGUGUGGGUUCAAACAGGAUAGAUACCCUGGUAGCCACACAGUAAAAGAUGAAUACUCGCUGUUGGCGAUAUACAGUCAGCGGCCAAGCGAAAGCAUUAAGUAUUUCACCUGGGGAGUACGCCGGCAACAGUGAAACUCAAAGGAAUUGACGCGGGCCCGCACAAGCAGAUGAACAUGUGGUCUAAUACAAUGAUACGCAAGUAACCUUACCCGGUCUUAAUUGCAACUGACUGAAUCGGAACGGGUCUUUCUCGGACGUUGUGAAGGUCUGCAUGGUCGCAUCACCCCUACCUGAGGGUACGCUUAGUACCAAACAGCGCACCCUU
rnacentral:rRNA from 1 species